UACAGAGGUCCCAAGCGUUGUUCGGAUUUACUGGGCGUAAAGGGUGCGUAGGUGGUCGGGUAAGUCUCAUGUGAAAUCUCCAAGCUUAACUUGGAAAUGGCAUGGGAUACUAUUCGGCUAGAGGAUUGGAGGGGGGACUGGAAUUCCCGGUGUAGCAGUGAAAUGCGUAGAUAUCGGGAGGAACACCAGUGGCGAAGGCGAGUCCCUGGACAAUUCCUGACGCUGAGGCACGAAAGCUAGGGGAGCAAACAGG
rnacentral:rRNA from 1 species